CAGGGAGUCACAUUCCAGUGCAGUGGGAGCAGCAUGCUGGCUGGCAGCUGGGAGCUGGGCCCCUGAGGAAAGACCCUGGCCUUGAGCCAAGCACCCAGGCCCUGCGGAGCCUCUGUGUGGCUUUGGCUCCAGAAAAUGGAGCAGGAUUUUUUUGGCAGCGAAGGUUAGGCCUGUUCCCAAUGCUCACAACCUUGGCUGAUAGGUACGUGGGAACAUUAGCCAAUUUAUUCCUCUCAGUAAGCUCUGGACCACCACCUGGGCUCCCAGGGGGGCAGAGAGAAGGGAGGUGACUUGCUGAGACCACACCCCAAGAAGAGACUUGGCAUCUGGCUCCCUCCCUUGACAUCCAGGGCCUCCCGAAUCUCACCUCAGCCUCACCUUCACCGAGGUCAUCACUCAUCACCACUUAGUGAAUAUGUUUCUGGGAGCCAGGCUCUUUGGAUUCGUUUUCUGGCUCCCCUGCUUUCCAGCUGACCUUGGGCAACUUUCUCAACCUUUCUGGGUCAGAUUCCUCCCCUGCAGAAUGCAGCUCUUCUUUCUGCUGACCCGUGGAAACUUCCAGCUCACACUAAACGCAGGGGCGCAGCUGGCACAGAAGCUCCACCAGCUCCCACACUGGUGAGGCCACAGCCCUACGGUGAAUCACUCCUCCCAGACCCCGCGAAAGGGCUCUGCUGCUCUGAUGGGACUCUUGCCGAUGCACAGCGACUGGAAGUUGAUUGAGAAAGUGACCAGCUCUCCUCCACCUACAUGUGACAGAUUUAGCAAAGAAAAAUACAGGACAUUCUAUUCAACUUGAAUUUCACACAAACAAUGGACACCUUUUUAAGUAUGCCCUUCCAGGGAGAAACACUCAACUGGGCCUCUUCCAUAUGCCAGACGUGACGAGAAGGACAUUCGAGGAAGCACGCAACCAGCGUGUGGGAGCCUUGGAGGACGGAGCAGGACAGGCUGAGCUUGGUCCUUGCAGGACCUCAGUUUCACUCUCUGGGCUAUGCUGAAAGGCUGGGGAGUCCCCGAGGGACCCUGAGUCCACACACUGAUUAUCACCACCUCAGGGUAAAGUUCCGGUUCUUUCUUUAAAAAAAUGUAUUUUAAACGUUUCAUUUAUUGAUUUUUUAG